GCGGACCUGUACUCGGCGCACCCUAAAUUCGGUGAAAUUCGUAAACGAACUCGGUAAAGUUCGAAACAAUAAUUUUGCCGUUUAAUGAUUGGCCAAGCCAAUUUUUUACCGCCUUUAAAAUAAGUAAGAUGACACCUUUAGCUGAGUUCAUUGAAAGUAUCAAAGAAGAAAAAUUGGUUGAUUUUUUGUAACAAAAAAGGCUAAUGCCACUUCAAAAACUUUGUCUAUGUGGUCAAAGGAUGCUUGUGCAAAAUUAUGAACGUUGUCAAGAAAAACAUAUUUGGCGAUGUAACACUUGCAAAAAGACGAAGUCAAUUUGAGCAGGAUUUUUUGAAAGCUCUACAUCUUUAAGUGUAAGUCUGAUACUUCAAUUAAUGUUUUUAUGGAUCCUGGAGGUCCCUGUAACCGCUGCAUCUGAGGUAGUAGGUGUAAACGAAAAAACCUCAAUUCAGUGGUAUCAAUACUUCCGGGAUAUUUGUUCAUUUAAAACUAUGGAUGUUGCUGCUGUUAAUCAAUUAGGUGGUCCAGGGCUCAUCGUAGAAAUAGAUGAAUCUUUAUUUUUUAAACGAAAAUAUAAUGUUGGGCAUAACGUUGAAAAACAUUGGAUUUUUGGGGCAUUUGAUGUAACUAGU